rnacentral:rRNA from 1 species
GACGAACGCUGGCGGCGUGCCUAAUACAUGCAAGUUGAGCGAUGAAGCUUGGUGCUUGCCCCAAUUUGAAGAGCAGCGAACGGGUGAGUAACGCGUGGGGAAUCUGCCUUUGAGCGGGGGACAACAUUUGGAAACGAAUGCUAAUACCGCAUAACAACUUUAAACAUAAGUUUUAAGUUUGAAAGAUGCAAUUGCAUCACUCAAAGAUGAUCCCGCGUUGUAUUAGCUAGUUGGUGAGGUAAAGGCUCACCAAGGCGAUGAUACAUAGCCGACCUGAGAGGGGGAUCGGCCACAUUGGGACUGAGACACGGCCCAAACUCCUACGGGAGGCAGCAGUAGGGAAUCUUCGGCAAUGGACGAAAGUCUGACCGAGGAACGCCGCGUGAGGGAAGAAGGUUUUCGGAUCGUAAAACUCUGUUGGUAGAGAAGAACGUUGGUGAGAGUGGAAAGCUCAUCAAGUGACGGUAACUACCCAGAAAGGGACGGCUAACUACGUG